GCUGGGUGUGGUGGUGCACGCCUGUAAUCCCAGCUACUCGGGAAGCUGAGGCAGGAGAAUCACUUGAACCCAGGAGUUGGAAGCUGCAGUGACCUGAGAUCCUGCCACUGUACUCCAGCCUGGGCGAUAGAGUAAGAUCCUGUCUCAA
rnacentral:SRP_RNA from 1 species